UACAGAGGGGGCAAGCGUUAUUCGGAAUUAUUGGGCGUAAAGGGCGCGUAGGCGGUGCGAGAAGCGUGUGGUGAAAGGCCGGGGCUCAACCCCGGCUCGGCCGUGCGGACUCUCGCGCUUGGUGAGUGCUGUAGAGGCGGGCGGAAUUCCGGGUGUAGCGGUGGAAUGCGUAGAGAUCCGGAAGAACACCGGUGGCGAAGGCGGCCCGCUGGGCAGUGACUGACGCUGAGGCGCGACAGCGUGGGGAGCAAACAGG
rnacentral:rRNA from 1 species